rnacentral:rRNA from 1 species
UAGUCCACGCCGUAAACGAUGGUCACUAGCUGUUUGAACUUCGGUUUGAGUGGCUAAGCGAAAGUGAUAAGUAUCCCACCUGGGGAGUACGUUCGCAAGAAUGAAACUCAAAGGAAUUGACGGGGGCCCGCACAAGCGGUGGAACAUGUGGUUUAAUUCGAUGAUACGCGAGGAACCUUACCAGGGCUUAAAUGCAUAACGAUCGUCAUGGAAACAUGAUUUUCUUCGGACGGAAUGCAAGGUGCCGCAUGGUUGUCGUCAGCUCGUGCCGUGAGGUGUCGGGUUAAGUCCCAUAACGAGCGCAACCCCUAUUCUUAGUUGCCAGCGGAUAAUGCCGGGGACUCUAAGAAAACUGCCAGUGUAAGCUGUGAGGAAGGUGGGGAUGGCGUCAAAUCAUCACGGCCCUUACGUCCUGGGCUACACACGUGCUACAAUGGUCGGUACAGAGGGCAGCUACCUAGUGAUAGGAUGCAAAUCUCUAAAGCCGGCCCUAGUUCGAAUUGGAGCCUGC